rnacentral:rRNA from 1 species
UACGAAGGGUGCUAGCGUUGUUCGGAAUCACUGGGCGUAAAGCGCGCGUAGGCGGUUAUUCAAGUCAGGGGUGAAAUCCUUGGGCUCAACCCAAGAAUUGCCUUUGAAACUGAAUGACUGGAGUAUUGGAGGGGAUAGCGGAAUUCCUAAUGUAGAGGUGAAAUUCGUAGAUAUUAGGAGGAACACCGGUGGCGAAGGCGGCUAUCUGGCCAAUUACUGACGCUGAGGCGCGAAAGUACGGGGAUCAAACAGG